UACGGAGGGUGCAAGCGUUAUCCGGAUUCACUGGGCUUAAAGGGUGCGUAGGCGGAUUAGAAAGUCCGUUGUGAAAUCUCUGAGCUUAACUCGGAAAUUGCGGUGGAUACUAUUAGUCUUGAAUACUGUGGAGGUUAGCGGAAUAUGUCAUGUAGCGGUGAAAUGCUUAGAUAUGACAUAGAACACCAAUUGCGAAGGCAGCUCGCUACACGAAUAUUGACUCUGAGGCACGAAAGCGUGGGGAUCAAACAGG
rnacentral:rRNA from 1 species